rnacentral:rRNA from 1 species
AAUACGUUCCCGGGCCCUUGUACACACCGCCCGUCAAGCCAUGGAAGCUGGGGGUACCUGAAGUCGGUGACCGCAAGGAGCUGCCUAGGGUAAAACUGGUAACUGGGGCU